rnacentral:rRNA from 1 species
UACGGAGGGAGCUAGCGUUGUUCGGAAUUACUGGGCGUAAAGCGCACGUAGACGGCUAUUCAAGUCGGGGGUGAAAGCCCGGGGGCUCAACCCCGGAACUGCCCUCGAAACUAGGUAGCUAGAAUCUUGGAGAGGCGAGUGGAAUUCCGAGUGUAGAGGUGAAAUUCGUAGAUAUUCGGAAGAACACCAGUGGCGAAAGGCGACUCGCUGGACAAGUAUUGACGCUGAGGUGCGAAAAGCGUGGGGAGCAAACAGG